rnacentral:rRNA from 1 species
ACAACGAAGAGUUUGAUCCUGGCUCAGGACGAACGCUGGCGGCGUGCCUAACACAUGCAAGUCAGGGAGAAAGUAAUAGUAAUAUUGCGAGUAAACCGGCAAACGGGUGAGUAAUACGUAGGCAACCUGCCAUAUGAACGGGAAUAACUCCGAGAAAUUGGGGCUAAUGCCAGAUAAAGUUUAGCUUUGACAUCAAAGUAAAACCAAACGCUCCAAAAGGGCGUCAUAUGAUGGGCUUACGUCCGAUUAGCUAGUUGGUGAGGUAAAGGCUCACCAAGGCGACGAUCGGUAGCUGGUCUGAGAGGAUGGUCAGCCACACUGGGACUGAGACACGGCCCAGACUCCUACGGGAGGCAGCAGUGAGGAAUAUUGCUCAAUGGGCGAAAGCCUGAAGCAGCGACGCCGCGUGAGGGACGAAAUCCGUUAGGAUGUAAACCUCUUUUUCAAAGGAAGAAUAUUUCAAUUUAUUGGAAUUGACUGUACUUUGGGAAUAAGCACCGGCUAACUACGUGCCAGCAGCCGCGGUAAUACGUAGGGUGCGAGCGUUGUCCGGAAUUACUGGG